rnacentral:rRNA from 1 species
GGACUACUAGGGUAUCUAAUCCUGUUCGCUCCCCACGCUUUCGCUCCUCAGCGUCAGUAUCGGCCCAGAGACCCGCCUUCGCCACCGGUGUUCCUCCUGAUAUCUGCGCAUUUCACCGCUACACCAGGAAUUCCAGUCUCCCCUGCCGAACUCCAGUGAUGCCCGUAUCGACCGCACGCCCACAGUUAAGCUGCAGGUUUUCACGGCCGACGUGACACACCGCCUACGAGCUCUUUACGCCCAAUAAUUCCGGACAACGCUCGCACCCUACGUGUUACCGCGGCUGCUGGCAC